GGACGAGCGCAAGUUGGUGGCCGUCGUGCACGGCUGCAGGAACCUGAAGCCGCUGUCCAAGGAGCUGCCGGACCCCUACGUGUCCCUCGUCCUCCUGCCCGACAAGAGCCGGGCCACCAAGAGGAAGACGAGUGUGCAGAGGAAGACCCUGAACCCCGACUACAACGAGAGGUUCGAGUGGGACGUGUCCCCUGAGGAGGCCGCGCGGCGCA